UUGAAAUGACCGGCCUAUGGAUGUCUUGUGAAAUCAAGGCAGGCAUAGGGAGUUUUUCUGAGAGAGAGAGAGCGAGAGAGAGAGAGAGAGAAAGGGUAGAGGAAUGGAUCAAAUAACUCGGAAGAGACGGCCACAGCCGUCGGAUCAUCCAUCGUCGUCGUCGUACACGAAGUUCGAUAAGACGGAGAGAUCGACCGGUGGCGAAGAGUCGGACAAGGGAUUGGGGUGGAAAUUACCGUUGAUGGCCCUAGGAGUGCUUAGAUAUAUGAGUGCAACUUCGAACCUAAUACAUGACUGUGACGAGGUCUUCAAUUAUUGGGAGCCUCUUCAUUUCCUUCUCUACCAAUCUGGCUUCCAAACUUGGGAAUACAGCUCCCAGUUUGCACUUCGCUCAUACCUGUACCUUCUUUUUCAUAAGUUAGUGGGUGGACCAGCUUCCUGGUUGUUUAGUGAGGAAAAAGUGAGAGUAUUCUAUGCUGUAAGAAUCUUCCUUGGUCUCCUCUCUGUCAUCACAGAGGCUGCUCUGAUAAUAGCCCUUUCAAGGAAAUAUGGAAAACGCCUUGCUUGUUAUGCGCUUGCAAUGCUAUGCUUAACUAGUGGUUGCUUUUUUGCUAGCACAAGUUUCUUGCCCAGUUCGUUCUCAAUGUAUGCCAUAUCUCUCUCAUCUGCAUUAUUUCUUUUUGAGAAACCUGCCAUGGCAGUCGCAGUUGCAGUUGUCGGGGUUGUUCUUGGUUGGCCAUUUUCAGUCUUGGCUUUUCUGCCAAUAACAAUUUGCUCAUUGAUUAGAAGGUUCAAACAUGCAUUUCUUGCAGGGGCUGUCAUGUCACUUAUGCUUCUGGCACUCUCAUUGCUUGUUGACUACUACUAUUAUAGAAGAUGGACAUCAUCUGUUCUGAAUCUGUUAUUAUAUAAUGUCUUAGGGGGUGGUGAGAGCCACUUGUAUGGAACUGAAGGGCCGUUGUAUUAUCUGAGGAAUGGAUUUAAUAAUUUCAACUUCUGCUUUGUUCUUGCAUUGUUUUUCCUUGGAAUCCUGCCCAUUGCAAGGAAGAAGUAUGCUCCAGACUUGUUGAUUGUCGUCUCACCUAUCUAUAUUUGGCUGGCAUUUAUGUCUUUGCAGCCACACAAAGAAGAAAGAUUCCUCUAUCCAAUAUACCCACUUAUUUGUGUAGCUGCCUCAGCUGUCAUUGAGAGCAUUCCUGAUUUUUUCCAAGACAAAUAUAAUCCCAAUCACAAUUCUCUGCUUGUUACGAUGGCAAAAUCUGUGAGACCUCUGGUUCUUGGCCUCGUUUUAUGUUCCUCCCAUGCUCGAACAUUCUCCCUCAUUCAUGGUUAUUCUGCUCCUUUGGAGAUAUACAAACAUUUGGAGUACCAUGCUGAUGUAGGGAUGGGUUCUCAAAUUUGUGUUGGAAGUGAAUGGCACCGCUUCCCAUCAUCCUUUUUCAUUCCUGAUCAUGUGGGUCAAGUUCGAUGGAUAGAUGAUGGGUUCAGGGGUCUUCUCCCAUUCCCAUUUAAUUCUACCUUGGGUGGGACUUCAGCAGCACCACCAUAUUUCAACAAUAAGAACAAGGCGUCCGAUGAGCAAUACCUCGUGGAUCUUGAUAAGUGUACUUUCCUCAUCGAGUUGCAGCUUGAACGACCUUUCACUUCUCGAGGAAGCAAUUUGUCAACAUGGGAGAUCGUUGCAGCGUUGCCAUAUCUGGACAGGGAGCUAUCACCUCCGUUGUAUCGGUCCUUCUUCAUUCCAUUCCUUUGGCAGCAGAAGAAUGUUUUCGGCGUGUACAAACUACUUAAAAGAAUUCCAACAUGACACUAUAUAUGUACAGGUGGGAUGUUGGAGUGAACUUACAUAUCAAGAGUUACAGUCUCGAGGGUUCUGAGUUCUCAAAUUGUCGUCUCUUCAUUGAAAUGAUGGGGCAUGGAAGCACAAUUCUACCUGGGCAGGUUUAGCUUGGAUUGCUGUGAAGGCGAAUGGAAGCAAGGUGGCUGCAGAAACCAGAUCUGUCAGGCCAUAUUGAGUCUGCAAAUCGAAGCUAUGGGGUUUUUGCGGCUUUGCAAUGGCUAGAGCACCGAUGCCUUCAGAAUGUCCAAAUGCUCGCUGAUUUUCUUGUCUUGGUCAACUAAUUAAAUGGUUUCAGUCUGCCGCAGUAUGCCUCCCUUCCUGUUUUGGAAGGUAUCAAAGCUUUAUAAGCAUAGGUUUGUUUCUAUUAUGACUUGCGCGAGAAGCUUAUUUUGACAUACUUUGGGAUACUUUGUAGAGUUAAAUUCUCACCAUGAAUUGAAUAGUCUAUAUAACCCUUGAAUUGUCUAUAUGAAA